rnacentral:rRNA from 1 species
UACGGAGGGAGCUAGCGUUGUUCGGAAUCAUUGGGUUUAAAGGGUCCGUAGGCGGUUUAAUAAGUCAGUGGUGAAAUCUGGUCGCUCAACGAUCAAACGGCCAUUGAUACUGUUAGACUUGAAUUAUUGUGAAGUAACUAGAAUAUGUAGUGUAGCGGUGAAAUGCUUAGAUAUUACAUGGAAUACCAAUUGCGAAGGCAGGUUACUAACAAUGGAUUGACGCUGAUGGACGAAAGCGUGGGGAGCGAACAGG